rfam:Mesocricetus auratus contig106273, whole genome shotgun sequence.
GCCGGGCGCAGUAGCGCAAGCCUGUAGUCCCAGCUACUCGGGAGUCUGAGACAGGAGGAUCGCUUGAGUCCAGGAGUUCUGGGCUGUAGUGUGUUAUGCCGGUCGGGUGUCCGCACUAAGUUCGGCAUCAAUAUGGUGACCUCCUGGGAGCGGGGGGUCACCAGGUUGCCUAAGGAGGGGUGAACCGGCCCAGGUCGGAAACGGAGCAGGUCAACAAAAUAGAUAUCAAACAAAAAGUAAUCAAAAUUGAUGGAGAAGGACAUUCUGUAUUCAUCACAGGACAAACCCACCAAGAUGAUGUCUCAG